GAAGAUUUUAUAAUUUUGAAUUUUCAUUAAGCUAAUCUUACAUAACUGUCCGUUUGUAUAAAUUGCAAACGACCAAUGCAAUUGUACCCAACUACUUAAAGCCACCACCAUCUACUUCACUGCCCCAAGUAUGCUCAAACUUUGACCUCAUCUCACACGUACUGUUUCUUUACGCAAAACCCGGGCGUCACCAUGUUGCAUGGGAAGUGUUCGACGUAAUGCCUGAGAGAAAUGACGUUGUUCGAAAUACCCCCAACAAGACUUCUUUCUUCUUCACUUUAACAACCCCCAAAUCUUCAGUGGAAGAUGCUCAUGCCAAACUCAAUACACAUUUACAUCACAACUUGGUUGUGAGGAUUUUGGCAGAGAAUUAAAAGCCUUACAGCUGCGUUGAACCAAGUUAAACCACGAUCAUUAGCCUGAUCGUGGGAGUUACUUGCAGGAGUUGAGAAAGAAAUUAAAUAUGGGGGAUGGCUCAAUGAUCUGAAGCAAUUCGGCAAGAAGAACAGGUAACAUAGAGUUGAAUUGGUUUAAAUGGUCAAAGUAAGUGCUCCUUAUGCCAAAUAUUAUUCUAAUGAGACUUGCUAUUUAAAAUUCAUCUGGAUGAUAUGAGAUACUGGAUUCAAAUGUUCAAAUUAAAGCCCUAGCUACACUUUCUUGCUGAUCUUUGUAAGUGAAGAUAAGAUUUCGUUCAUGUCGGGUCGAUCAUCUGGAUCCGGUCGAGUGCAGCAUAAAGCCAACUGAAGAAUCUGUUCUACAACACUCUGUUUUGUGUUGAAGUCGGAAGCCAAAUCAGGAUCUACAACUUCAAUCAGCUCAUUCAUUUCUUUUGAAAUUGCUUGUUCUAUCAACUGUGGCAAAGUGAUGUGGAUUCCGUUGUCUUCGAUGCUAAAGGCGAAGAGAACAUGUUCUUGGACAAGCUUCGGAAUGAAGGCACGACGUGAAGGCACUUAAGAGAUAAAAAUGAUCGAGUUGCCGCUGACCAUUACCAACACCACAAGGAUCUCAAGCAUUGAAGUCAAAAGAUUCACAAGCAUAAUCAAAGGGGGAGUUUAUUGACACACUACCUAAAUGAAAAGGGAGUUUGUUGAUACACUUUCUACUUACGACGCGUGAAGACUUUGAAGAUCCUCCGACGUGGAAGAUAUGGAAGUUGAACCUCACGAGUAGCGUCCAAGGGGGAGUUUGUUGAUACAUAUUAUGUGGACACGACUCGGUUCGGUUCGACUCGGUUCGGUUCGACCCGGUUAGGUUCGGCUCAAGCCCGACGUCACGACAUUCCUCCGUCGUGCGUCCCAGAGUUCGACACGCGAAGCACGGAGCGCCGCGAGCCGGUUCCCGCCGCCACAUCAUCAUGACAUCAUCAUGAUGAUGUCAUGAUGAUGUCAUACCCUUUGACCAAAUGCAUUUUGCAAUGGCUGGCAUGGAAUUUACGUAAAGAAUGGUUGUGAUUGGGCCAUUUUUUGUGGGCUGAUACAACAUUGGGCCGAAACCCAUAUUAAACAACAUGUGAAGAAAACAUAAAAAAUGAAAUGAAGUGAUUUCGGAAAAUAGAACCAGAGGAGGAGGGCACAAGGAAGAACACAUACCCGAGAGAACUAGUGAGAGUUUGCAAAGAUUAAUUUGUAAACAUUGAUUUGUAACCGUUUCAAGUAUUAAUACAUUGGUGUUAAUCGUUGAGUCUCGGUCUCCUUCUCGUGUUCUUGUCGUGUUCUAUCUCGGUUUGCAUCUCCGGUUGGAUUCCGCACAACCGGGUGUGUUUGUACACAAGGAUUAGGCGACUAGAUCCUCCCCUAGCCGGACCUACAUUAUAUUUAUCAUGUAUAGAGAUAGAGAUUAUUUAACUCAAACGAAGUUUAAGGUAUUUGUGAUAAACUUGAUGAUUGUAAUGAUGAUUUGAGAUUCGAAUCGAAGUUAGCUUCUA
rnacentral:lncRNA from 1 species